AAGUAAAAUAAACAAUCAAACUUGUACAGAAGGUCGACACCGAUCGUCAACAAUUUAACGUGUGACUGGUGCAUGUUUGGGUUUAUAGUUGAGCACUGUUCAAGAUGAUGGUGGAUGAUGAUGUUUCUUAGGUUAUCAUGAUUGUAUUGAUGGUUUAUAAUGAUAAAGAAAGAGUGUUUCCAGUUUCUUCUUAGGCUCCAACUUGUGUUCACAGUUAAAUUGAAUGAGGUUGAGAUGAUGAGGGAUAAAUUUAGUUAAACUCUUCCGUUACAAGUUGAUCAAUUAAAGUGUAACAAGGGAGAAACAAUUUUGUACACAGUUUAACGUCAAGUGUAAACAGGCGUAUGUCAACCUAGUCCUUGUUUCCUUGUUUAAAUUUAAAUUGGACACGCGGCCAAAUAAAUAGUUAACACACAAAUCAAUUUAAUAAGCUUCCCAUGGAUAAUAAUCAUUAGUUGAUUUUUAUCUUGCCAUCAGUGUCCAUCAGUGUCACCAGUGGAAUCAAUUGUCUUUUUGUUAGUCUCUCAAUCUGUAGUUGUUUGUGUCACACCAAUAGAGUUGAGUGUUGGAUUGAAAAUUGAGCGUUAAAUAAUCUUCACUUUCCGUUAAAAUUGAUUUCUACAUCAACUUUAACAAUCAAAGUUCACAUGACAAUAAACACUUAACCACUGUUUAACCCAUAAUUAAUAAUUAAUUCAAUUAAACCAAUUUGUUUACUUGUCCAUUAACAAAUAACAGUGAAUAGUUGCAAAAUAUGUAACUGGAGUCGAGGGAAGGAUAUUUAAUUACGACUUGCUUUGUUACAGAGAUUUACCCUUUAGCCUAUCGAUUUCAGCUGAUGUAACAUUAAUCUUAUCACUUUUUAUAUCCUUUCCAUCAUCUUAGAAAUGUGUUACCAUCUUUGUUUUCAUCUUGUUUUUACUUGAGACACUUUACUGUGUUUUCACCAAAGCUUUGGAUUGUGAGAAAAGAAUCUCAUGAGAAUAAAUGGUCACCAUGGACUUAUAGAUUUAAACGAUAAAUGUUCAUGAUAAAUAACAAGGAAAAAGUAUAAAACAUAAGAAGGUGAAAAAGUAGAGGAAAAAUAUACCAUUCAACCUUUUUGUUUUGCUUUUUCCUGGCCAUUUCUAGAUCUGGAAACUCAUGAAAGGAUCAUCCUUCAUCUUUCCAGUCAACUUUGUCCAUACUAAUCAAUCUUACCAUCAUCAAAAGAUGAUUUAUCUUCAUCAUCAUGUUCCUCUUUUCCAUAUCAAAAUCUCUAUGCAUCAUAUUUAUCAUGUUCAUCAUGAUCCAAAUCAUCAACUUCUCAUUCCAAACCAUGCGUACCAAUAUAAAGUCGAAAUAAUUUUCUGGAUUUUUAUUUUCCACUUUAUUCUUCAGUGAUCUGUUCGAAGACGAGAUUAAAUGAUUUUGGUAAACACUUUGACUUGUGGAUAUUGAAUUGAACCCAGAAUGGAAUCGAAAGAAAUGCUGAUUAAAUAUUUUUACCAAGCAAAGGCAAAGUUUGAUCAAAAAGAGAUGAUGGCAAGGAAAAAAAGUCAAGAUUUACAAAGAUGGCGAUGGAAAGUACCUCUGAACAGAAUUGCCUGAAAUGAAGUGUAAGAGAGAAGAUGAUGAAGAUAAAGAUUGUUGGUGUGUCAAAUGAAUGACAGUCAUGCUCUAUGCUGUUAUUUAGCGUAAUGUUUUUUUCUUCUCUCAACUAAUCUGUUUUAUCCUAUCUGCUGUGCUUUCGCCAUCAGAAUCCUAUAAAAUUAUUAUUAUAAUAUAUAUAUAUACUCAGUACCAUGAACAUUGAAUGAGAGAAGAAAAAGACAAAAAAUAAAGAGCAUAAACCUUGUAUACUUAUACUUCAUCUUCUUCAUUUCUCUCUUUUUUUUUGUAACUCAUCCGAAAGCUUUAUAUCAAUUUGCAUUACAAUAGGAUCAACAACAGUUAUCAUCCUGCAUCAAAGUGAAAAAGAAAGCCAGAGACAUUUACUCUCUCCAAGGAGAAAGAAGAAAACAGAAGACAAGAUACAGAAAAAGGAACAGAACCGAAGGAAAGCAUUGGGAUGGCUGUGGAUCCAGGAUCAUCCUUAAUCCCUCAUCUUUUCUAACAACCUUUGAAUCAACCUUUUCUCUAUCUCUUUCCUUUUGCUUUCUUGCCUCCAACUUUUUAAGCUUUUGGAAGAGAAAGUGAUGGAAAAAGAGAGAGGAAAAGAAGAAGAAGAAGAUGAUAAAACCAUUUAAAACCAUCAUCAAUCCCUUCGAAUGACAAUAACUUGACUGUAUCGCUUUUAUAUCCACACUUUGGUUUGGAUGCCUUUUGCCUUGGUUUUAACAAACAAUUACCAAAGUCAUCCUCAUCUUUUAGCUUCCCUUUUCUUCAUCAAAAUCAUCAUCAUAUUUAUCUUUUACUUUUUCCUCGCCCCUCUUCAUCCAAGUUAAUUCCAGAUAAAAUACAAAUAAAUAGCAAAAAGAUGUAUCUUUUUUUUUGUUUGGUAGUCCAAUGGCGUUUGUUCAAACCUUCUGGUCAUGAAAUAUUUCUCUUGUUUUUACUCUUAUUUUUGCUCCUUUCUCAUCUUCUUCGUCACUUUUCCUCCUUCAAUUUCAUCUGAUUGUCUUUUAAACCCAAUGUGUAAACAGGGGUGUUAUUUGUAUCAUCAUUACUAUUGAGUGGCAAAAAUACACAAUAACAUCUAAUACUAGACCAAGAAUAAAAUUAAUGAUAAACAUUUGA